rnacentral:rRNA from 1 species
UGGGGAAUUUUGGACAAUGGGCGAAAGCCUGAUCCAGCAAUGCCGCGUGUGUGAAGAAGGCCUUCGGGUUGUAAAGCACUUUUGUCCGGAAAGAAAUCCUUGGCUCUAAUACAGUCGGGGGAUGGCGGUACCGGAAGAAUAAGCACCGGCUAACUACGUGCCAGCAGCCGCGGUAAUACGUAGGGUGCAAGCGUUAAUCGGAAUUACUGGGCGUAAAGCGUGCGCAGGCGGUUUGCUAAGACCGAUGUGAAAUCCCCGGGCUCAACCUGGGAACUGCAUUGGUGACUGGCAGGCUAGAGUAUGGCAGAGGGGGGUAGAAUUCCACGUGUAGCAGUGAAAUGCGUAGAGAUGUGGAGGAAUACCGAUGGCGAAGGCAGCCCCCUGGGCCAAUACUGACGCUCAUGCACGAAAGCGUGGGACGCAAACAGGAUUAGAUACCCUGGUAGUCCACGCCCUAAAACGAUGUCAACUAGUUGUUGGGGAUUCAUUUCCUUAGUAACGUAGCUAACGCGUGAAGUUGACCGCCUGGGGAGUACGGUCGC